rnacentral:misc_RNA from 1 species
CCACCGAGGGCGCCGCCGACGGCUGCGGUGCCAUUGCCGUCGGCCGCCCAGGCGGAGCUGCCGACCAGGGUCAGGGACAACAGGAACAGGGGGGCGUAUUUCAUUGCGGUUAUCACUCAGUGGGGAUGACGGGGCCGAUCCUGCUUAGGCCCGAAGGCUUUGGCAAGGCCUGUUCCGACAAUCGGCAGCGUUUUGCAAAAUUCUGCACGUUGCCGCCUUUUGUCCGGAACUUUGCCGGAUAUGCCUCGGUCAGAGGGUUCUUGCUCAGGCCGUCGGCAGGCCUGCGCAGAGCGCCAGAUAGCUGUCGACGGC